GUGAAUCUAGCCAAAAGGUAAGGCAGGAGACUUUGAAUCUCCCAUGUCCAGGUUCGAGUCCUGGGAUCACUACA